UACGGGGGGGGCAAGCGUUGUUCGGAAUUAUUGGGCGUAAAGGGCGCGUAGGCGGCCCGGUAAGUCAAAGGUGAAAUCCCUCGGCUCAACUGAGGAACUGCCUUUGAAACUGUCGGGCUUGAGGCCGGGAGGGGGUAGCGGAAUUCCCAGUGUAGCGGUGAAAUGCGUAGAUAUUGGGAGGAACACCGGUGGCGAAGGCGGCUUUCUGGACACUUACUGACGCUGAGACGCGAAAGCGUGGGGAGCAAACAGG
rnacentral:rRNA from 1 species